GGACUACUAGGGUAUCUAAUCCCUUUUGCUCCCCACGCUUUCGUGCCUGAGCGUCAGUAAUUGUCCAGGUAGCCGCCUUCGCCUCUGGUGUUCCUCACGAUAUCUACGCAUUUCACUGCUACACCGUGAAUUCCGCUACCCUCUCCAAUACUCUAGCCAUGUAGUUUCAGGCGCAGUUCCGGGGUUGAGCCCCGGGAUUUCACACCUGACACACAUGGCCGCCUGCGCACCCUUUACGCCCAGUGAAUCCGAAUAACGCUUGCAGUCUCUGUAUUACCGCGGCUGCUGGCAC
rnacentral:rRNA from 2 species